GUGAGGUCCAUGUGUCGCUAAGGUCACUGUGAGGUCCAUGUGUCGCUAAGGUCACUGUGAGGUCCAUGUGUCGCUAAGGUCACUGUGAGGUCCAUGUGUCGCUAAGGUCA